CUAAAUGUCAGAACAUCCCUAAAAAGAAGUACGCAUUCAUCAGGAUAAAAAGGGUAUACAGACAUUGCUUUGGAUGUCAGCUGACCCUAAGUGAAGGCCAUUGAAGCAACCAUGAAAAGAUACUCAUGAGAGAUGACUGUCCUUCAGGAAACUGGCAUCAGGAUGGGGUUGAACUACAGGACACCCAAUUUGAGUUGAAAUUGGAGAGUCACAGAUAGCCCACAUAACAUUCCUGAGAGAUGGGUGCUCUUCGGACCCUAAUGUGCAGGGAGGAAACAGAUAAGUGAUGCUGCACUGCUAAAAAUGGUUCUGGGACUUCUGGAUUCCAAAUUUCAAACCGUCUCC
ensembl:lncRNA